rnacentral:rRNA from 1 species
UGCCCACUGAAAUUUGAAGGGCCGCAGUAUUUUGACUGUGCAAAGGUAGCAUAAUCAUUAGUCUUUUAAUUAAAGGCUGGAAUGAAUGGUUGGACGAGGUAAAUACUGUCUUAUUUUAAUUAUUUGAAUUUAGAUUUUAAGUAAAAAAACUUAAAUAAAAUUAAGGGACGAGAAGACCCUAUAGAGUUUAAUAUAUAUAAUUUUAAUUGAGUUAAUAAUAAAUUUUUGAUUAUUAUGAAGUAUAUUUAAUUGGGGUGAUUAGAAGAUAUAAAUAACUCUUCUUUAUUUUAAAUAAUAUUAUUAGUUUUAUGAUCCAUAUAUGAUGAUUAGAAGAUUAAAUUACCUUAGGGAUAACAGCAUAAUUCUUUUAGAGAGUUCAAAUCGAAAAAGGAGAUUGUGACCUCGAUGUUGGAUUAAGAAUAAUUAUGGGUGUAGGUGUUCAAUAAUUAAGUCUGUUCGACUUUUAAAUUCUUACA